GACAUGCUUCCUUUUCGGGAGCACAUGCUCCCACAUGUCACCAGUUAGACAUAUUGCAAGACUGGAAUGCUCUACUCUGGCCCAUUCUCGUCCCCUUUUUACCAAUGUCAUACCCCUUGAUGAUGUGAUCUAUGCAUUUGUAAAUGGGUUAUAAUGAAUUGAACACCAUCUUUUAAAAUACAGGCUUGUUGUAAAUAUGUCC